AUGUACUGAGUCGGGGCCAGUACCAGAUAAGCACAUUAAACUAUGGUAACAACCGUUAGCUUACGUUAGCACAGAUGAAAGUUAAAACAAAGACGUUUAGCAAACUGUUAAAGCACACAAACCAUCUUCAUAUGAGAGAUCCAACGCUAUGACUCUCCACAAGUUGUCCUUCAGGUCGUUAUCUUUGUAAUGUUUGUGUCUUUUAUCAAAAAGCACUCUGUUUUCCGACACGUAAACAAUCAGCCGGUCGGCCAUGUUGGAAAUACCGGGGAAUCAGACGUUGCAACAACAGGCAAUCUG